UACGAAGGGGGCUAGCGUUGUUCGGAUUUACUGGGCGUAAAGCGCACGUAGGCGGAUUGUUAAGUCAGGGGUGAAAUCCCGGAGCUCAACUCCGGAACUGCCUUUGAUACUGGAGAUCUUGAGUUCGGGAGAGGUGAGUGGAACUGCGAGUGUAGAGGUGAAAUUCGUAGAUAUUCGCAAGAACACCAGUGGCGAAGGCGGCUCACUGGCCCGAUACUGACGCUGAGGCACGAAAGCGUGGGGAGCCAAACAGG
rnacentral:rRNA from 1 species